UACGUAGGGGGCAAGCGUUGUCCGGAUUUAUUGGGCGUAAAGAGCGUGUAGGCGGCCUGACAGGUCUGCUGUGAAAACUCGAGGCUCAACCUCGAGAUGUCGGCGGAAACCGUCUGGCUAGAGUCCGGAAGAGGAGAGUGGAAUUCCUGGUGUAGCGGUGAAAUGCGCAGAUAUCAGGAAGAACACCUAUGGCGAAGGCAGUGGUCUGGGCCGAUACUGACGCUGAGGAGCGAAAGCGUGGGGAGCGAACAGG
rnacentral:rRNA from 1 species